rnacentral:lncRNA from 1 species
GGGUUCCAUUUUCUCCACAUCCUUGUCAACAUUUUUUAUUUAUGUUCUUUUUGUUGAUGGACAUCCUGACAGGUGUGAGGUGCUAUUUCAUUAUGGUUUUGAUUUGCAUUUCCCUGAUGAUGAGAGAUGUUGAGCAUCUUUUUCUUGUGCCUGUGGCGAACAGACCUUUUCCUUCUUAUUUCACGUGUGUGGGUUGAAGAACUGAAGUUAUUUUCCCAAGGUCCCUCAUUUAGGAAGAAGAGGGAACAGAAAAAUUGGUGAGCCUUUGGAGAUGAGAGGACAGAGACCUGUGACUAAGAAACCUGGCUAAAGUCAGAUAAUUUCUGUAUGGAAGACUGAAUCUACCAUGUUGGACUCUUCAUUCUUGGGUCCAUAAUAUAGAUGAACAUACAGGAUAGACUGGAUUGCAAUUGGGAAACUCAAUGACUAUUCCUGUAUGGACUUUACUUAAGAAUAGCAUCUUGGCAUCACUGAGGAGGAAAGAAUAUAGAAACUGUCCGACAGCCUCUGAGCAUGUCCAUCAAUUUGAAUCGGCUUAUUUCUGCUUUUUGAGUCUUGGUUACUCAAAGGAUGUGGAAGAUCCUGCCAGAAACCCUUGCAACAGAGAAGGAAUAAACUCUGCCUGCUCACUGGGAAGAUGA